UUGUGAUUGAUUCUAGGUAUAUACAGAUGCCAUCUCUGUCUGGCAACAUAUGGACCUGAUUACAUUCAGGUGCUCAUUGAGCUGUCUAAGAACAAGUAGAUCAUCAUUUCACCAUCUUCGGCCGCCCCAGGAUGCUGGCCUUCAUUCUUCAAAAGUUGGGUGUACAGGAGCUCUAGGAAGAAGAAUCCCGAAGAAAAACCACACCCAGCAAUGCGUUUUUAGCUCACUGGAGAUAGUUAUGUGUGAAGCUAGUUAUGUGUAUAUUUAGUUGUAUUUUAUAGCUAAAUACUAGAUUUGGACUAUGUACUU